rnacentral:rRNA from 1 species
UACAGAGGGUGCUAGCGUUGUUCGGAAUUAUUGGGCGUAAAGCGCUUGUAGGCGGCUUGUUAAGUUCCGUGUGAAAUCCCCGGGCUUAACCUGGGAAUGGCAUUUGGGACUGCAAGGCUUGAGUGCGGCAGAGGAGGCUGGAAUUCCUGGUGUAGCAGUGAAAUGCGUAGAUAUCAGGAGGAACACCUGUGGUGUAGACAGCUUACUGGACCACUUCUGACGCUGAGACACGAAAGCGUGGGUAGCAAACAGG